rnacentral:snRNA from 1 species
AUGCUGCUUUGGCAGCACAGAUACUAAAACUGGAAGGAUACAGAGAUUAGCAAGGCCCCUGUGUGACAAUGGCACAUGAGACAUUCCAUAUUUUU